AUAAGGUGGCUGAGAUAGAGGCGUUAGAUUGUAAAUCUAAGAAGAAGUUAGAACUUCCUUAUUAU
rnacentral:tRNA from 1 species